AGAGUUUGAUCCUGGCUCAGAACGAACGCUGGCGGCGUGGAUAAGACAUGCAAGUCGAGCGCUGAUUACAGGGUAGCAAUAUUCUGUGGUCGGAGCGGCGCAAGGGUGCGUAACACGUGGGUAAUCUGCCAUGAAGUUUGGAAUAACUUGCUGAAAGGCGAGCUAAUACCGGAUGUGACAAUUAGGAGGCAUCUUCCGAUUGUCAAAGCUGGGGACCGUAAGGCCUGGCGCUUCAUGAUGAGCCCGCGGCCUAUCAGCUAGUUGGUGAGGUAACGGCUCACCAAGGCUAAGACGGGUAGCUGGUCUGAGAGGACGACCAGCCACACUGGAACUGAGACACGGUCCAGACACCUACGGGUGGCAGCAGUCGAGAAUUUUUCACAAUGGGCGCAAGCCUGAUGGAGCGACGCCGCGUGGGGGAUGAAUGGCUUCGGCCCGUAAACCCCUGUCAUUUGCGAACAAAUUGGUUCAAUUAACACCUGAACCAUUGAUAGUAGCGAAAGAGGAAGGGACGGCUAACUCUGUGCCAGCAGCCGCGGUAAUACAGAGGUCCCAAGCGUUGUUCGGAUUCACUGGGCGUAAAGGGUGCGUAGGUGGUGAGGUAAGUCGGAUGUGAAAGCUCGGAGCUCAACUCCGAAAUGGCAUUGGAAACUACCUUGCUCGAGGGUUGGAGGGGGGACUGGAAUACUUGGUGUAGCAGUGAAAUGCGUAGAUAUCAAGUGGAACACCAGUGGCGAAGGCGAGUCCCUGGACAACUCCUGACACUGAGGCACGAAAGCUAGGGGAGCAAACAGGAUUAGAUACCCCCGUAGUCC
rnacentral:rRNA from 1 species